GGUGGGGUUCCCGAGUGGCCAAAGGGAACAGACUGUAAAUCUGUCGUCAUACGACUUCGGAGGUUCAAAUCCUCCCCCCACCACCA
rnacentral:tRNA from 1 species